rnacentral:rRNA from 1 species
GACGAACGCUGGCGGCGUGCCUAACACAUGCAAGUCGAACGGAGUGUUGCGCUGAAUUGAAGGUAGCUUGCUACUGGAUUUUCUUGUGACACUUAGUGGCGGACGGGUGAGUAACGCGUGAGCAACCUGCCUUACAGAGGGGGACAACAGUUGGAAACGACUGCUAAUACCGCAUGAUGUACCUAGUGGGCAUCCACAAGGUACCAAAGGAACAAUCCGCUGUAAGAUGGGCUCGCGUCCGAUUAGAUAGUUGGUGGGGUAACGGCCUACCAAGUCUACGAUCGGUAGCCGGACUGAGAGGUUGAUCGGCCACAUUGGGACUGAGACACGGCCCAG